rnacentral:lncRNA from 1 species
GAAAACCUAUAAAAAAUAAUAAGCAUUCCUGAAGGGGAACGAUACACCCGUCACAUUUGUUACAUAUCCUCUUGUCUUCUUCACGGGGAAUCACCCCCAAUCUUUAGAAGGCCCCACCUUCGUGAAAGAAAUGUCUAUUCUGGCCUCACCAAUAAGGCAAAGGUUGUAUCCAACGUCUCUUAGACCACCCACACUAAAG